rnacentral:tRNA from 1 species
CCUUCGGUAGCUCAGUUGGUAGAGCGGUGGACUGUAGUUGUAUUUUCCCGAAAGUAGUAAUCCAUAGGUCGCUGGUUCAAAUCCGGCCCGAAGGA